rnacentral:rRNA from 1 species
UACGAAGGGGGCUAGCGUUGUUCGGAAUUACUGGGCGUAAAGGGCUCGUAGGCGGCCAACUAAGUCAGACGUGAAAUCCCUCGGCUUAACCGGGGAACUGCGUCUGAUACUGGAUGGCUUGAGGUUGGGAGAGGGAUGCGGAAUUCCAGGUGUAGCGGUGGAAUGCGCAGAUAUCAGGAGGAACACCAAUGGCGAAGGCAGAUCUCUGGGCCGUAACUGACGCUGAGGAGCGAAAGCAUGGGGAGCGAACAGG